rnacentral:rRNA from 2 species
UAGGGAAUCUUCGGCAAUGGACGAAAGUCUGACCGAGCAACGCCGCGUGAGUGAAGAAGGUUUUCGGAUCGUAAAACUCUGUUGUUAGAGAAGAACAAGGACGUUAGUAACUGAACGUCCCCUGACGGUAUCUAACCAGAAAGCCACGGCUAACUACGUGCCAGCAGCCGCGGUAAUACGUAGGUGGCAAGCGUUGUCCGGAUUUAUUGGGCGUAAAGCGAGCGCAGGCGGUUUCUUAAGUCUGAUGUGAAAGCCCCCGGCUCAACCGGGGAGGGUCAUUGGAAACUGGGAGACUUGAGUGCAGAAGAGGAGAGUGGAAUUCCAUGUGUAGCGGUGAAAUGCGUAGAUAUAUGGAGGAACACCAGUGGCGAAGGCGGCUCUCUGGUCUGUACCUGACGCUGAGGCUCGAAAGCGUGGGGAGCAAACAGG